GCCGUAGCUUAGUGGUAGGAAAUCUGUGUUGCAUGCAGAAGGUCCCAGGAUCAAUCCCUGACAUCUCCA